rnacentral:rRNA from 1 species
UACGAAGGGGCUAGCGUUGCUCGGAAUUACUGGGCGUAAAGGGCGCGUAGGCGGACAGUUUAGUCAGAGGUGAAAGCCCAGGGCUCAACCUUGGAAUUGCCUUUGAUACUGGCUGUCUUGAGUUCGGGAGAGGUGAGUGGAAUGCCGAGUGUAGAGGUGAAAUUCGUAGAUAUUCGGCGGAACACCAGUGGCGAAGGCGACUCACUGGCCCGAUACUGACGCUGAGGAGCGAAAGCGUGGGGAGCAAACAGG